AUUGAACGCUGGCGGCAGGCCUAACACAUGCAAGUCGAACGAGUGGCGGACGGGUGAGUAAUGUCUGGGAAACUGCUCGAUGGAGGGGGAUAACUACUGGAAACGGUAGCUACUACCGCAUACCAUCGGAUGUGCCCAGAUGGAAUUAGCUUGUAGGUGAGGUAAAGGCUCACCUAGGCGACGAUCCCUAGCUUGUCUGAGAGGAUGACCAGCCACAAUGGAACUGAGACACGGUCCCGACUCCUACGGGAGGAAGCAGUGGGGAAUAUUGCACAAUGGGCGCAAGCCUGAUGCAGCCAUGCCUCGUGUAUGAAGAAGGCCGUCGGGUUGUAAAGUACUUGCAGCGGGGAGGCGUUACCCGCAGAAGAAGCACCGGCUAACUCCGUGCCAGCAGCCGCGGUAAUUC
rnacentral:rRNA from 1 species